GUACUCUUUGUUCUACAGUAUGAAGUUAUAUGAUUACAGGAAAACAAGGGUUGUUCAUUUUCAUUCGUAGUUGACACUGAACGAGAACAAUCUACAGAAUCAUGUGCAAACUACCCAUUUGGUGUUCUAUAGUAUUGCUGUUAUUCCCAGUCCCUGCAACUGCCAGGGUGUGGGUGAACCAGUGGUCCUCAAAGAAUGCUUACAUAGUAGGGGACACAGUUGCUCUUUAUUGCAACAUAAUCUCAGAUCAUGAGGAAAUAAGAAAUUGCAAAAUGAGAUGGAUCAUUGAAGAUCAAGGAGAUGUCACAAGUUUGGAGUUGUAUAAGCAUCGUGUCAACAUGAAUUCGAGCAAAACAGCUACUAUUAUGACAUUGAGAAACCUGACCUUGAAUGACACCAUUAUGCCAACUUGCAUCGCAAAGUGCAUCAUUGACAGUCUCAACAGCAAGGUUUAUGGGGAGGGGGGCACACUUCACAUUUUUGAAGACAUCAACCAGAUGACCCUGGUAUCAAAGUUGACAACACUGGUCCCAGAGUUGACAACACUGGUCCCAAAGGAAAUCAAACAGGAACAUGCUCUCACUUGGCUGAACCAUGUUUUUCUCAGCAUAAACAUCCUGAUUUUCAUUGUGGCCACAAUUAUUUGUGUGUCAUACAUCAGAACCCAAAUGAAUAUGAAUUAAAAAGGGAUUGCAUUAGUUGUUAAAAUAUUGCCUGAAGCACCCUUCCAAGUUAUAGCCUAAAGCCUAUGCUCUAACACCUUUAGUAAACUGUAAACUGUGAUUUGAAACGUUUUCGGAGCUAUAGCUUUCUUUAUGUACUGCAUUGUUAUUGUGUUUUUAGGCCUGUUCAUAUUUUAUUACUCUAAUGUAUAGAAUGUAGGCCUACUGAUAUAUAUUUUUUACUGUCUUGUAUUAUUAUCUGAAAACAAACAAGUAAGGUAAAGGUGAAAGGUGACAAGCAUCUGGUAAAUGCAUUCCAGACUAGAGUGGGCAAAAGACUACAUUUGAUUUACUUUCCUUUAGUAUCCAUGUGGACAUUUUGAAUACAGUUGACAUAUAUUUCUUUCAUCGUGUAGCCUAAUCAUAAUCAUUGCUAUUGAUAGAGUAUAGAUUAAAGUUGAUAAAGUUUAGACUAUUUUUCAAAAUUUGCUAAUACAUUGGAAACAAAAUUAAAUACUGUAUAUACAUUGUCCUGAUUUUUUUAGGCUAUUGCAAGGUUGAAGUCAAGGCUAAAUUCGAAUUCAAGAGUCAGUCAAUUCAGGAGGUUUGAAUUAAAACACGGAACAACUUUAGGUCGUUUAUUGUUUUCAGAAUAGGCUGUGUCACGUCUGCUCCCACUUGAGGGCACCAGGCUGCCCUGCAUCACUCACUCCUAUCAUCG